GGAGGAACAAUGGGCAGAGGAGAGAAGUAACGUUAGAGUUGUGGUGUCAAGAAAACCAGUGACGAAUAGGGCAAGUGACUUGGGUUGGAACAACAUGGGGGCCAGAGAGCUUCUGCUUCGUUAUUCAACAGAUGGAGAAUUAACACCAAUUAGCCUCAAGUUCUGCCCAUCUUCACUGCUACACUAUGACACCUGGACAAGAGUACAAACCUGAGGCCACAAGAGCCAAUUAGAACGGGAAACACAGAUGUUUGACGUGUGGCUGAAGACUGGACAUAAUUAUCAGAGGCGAAUAUGUGUGAAAACAUGGAUCUAGAGUACCAAAUACCUGUAAGCAAUUUAGGUGAGUGACAUGGACAAUUGUAUUUAAUUUUACACUCUAAGAAACGCCUGUAGAAAUAUGUACUUUUUAAAUAUGAAGACAUUUUUUGUAUUUUGAAUUAUCCAUUGCAGUGUUUU